CCAGGACUGAGGCUCCAGGAAGAGGAAAGAAUGACCCCUUCCAUCGCUGGGGCUGUCUCUGAUGUCUGGAUCCUUUACCUGCUCCCUGUAGGGUGAUUUGGUGUGCGUGAAUGAGGGAUGGAGGGGAGAAGAAACCCAUGUUUCAACUCUGAUCCCAUCAGGAGCAUCUCAGCCUUGCCUGUAGAGCAUGAAGAGCACCGAAGAGGAAGCAUGUAUGUGUCACACACUGUUCAAGGUCGCACAUUGCUCAAGGAGCCCACGAGCAAUCAAGGGAGACAGAUGGAGAUGUGAAUUCACUAUGCUGCCCAGGCUGGUCUCGGACUCCUGACUCCAAGUAAUCCUCCCACCUUAGCUUGCCAAAGUGCUGGGCUUACAGGUAUGAACUACUGCUUCCGGCUGAGAGUUUACUUUUGUUUGCUAGUGGUGUUUUUGAUAUCUUUUCAUAUUUGAGGCUUUGGUGUUAGUGCUAAAAUAUUACACUCACCAUCUGAGGUUUACAGGACUUUUGUUUUAAUAUUAACAACUGUUUAGUUCUGCAUCUUUGCAAGUAUACACAAUAUGCCUACCAGGACUCUGCUUUAUAUCAAUCAAAAGCAAGAAGUAAUAAAGUAAAACUUUGCCUGGCUAGAGGCUUUGGAAGUAUGGAGUAUUCUGGUUUAAUUCUAUUAACUUGGAAGUACAAAGGUGAAAAAAAUUCAAAACCUUAAUUUCCUGUUGAAUGCAAUUUGAAAAUACAGCCAGUGAUUCCACUUUUCUUCUCUAGUAAGUUUGGACAUUCAGAUCUACUUGGUCUUUUAUUAUCACACUCCUAGUGUGCCUUAGACUUAUAUUGUGAAGGUCCCUUUCUAAAACUUUAGAUGUAGGAGGAUGUAAGUGGUGUUGUAUAAGAUCAGACUGGAUAAGAACAGAUAUCUGUAAACAUACUUUUUAGAUUAAAUCUCUGAUUGCCACUUGUUUUCUUAUUUAACUUAUAAAAAUAAAACACAUUAGCUGGAGGAUGGGAGUAGGAAGGAGAUUUAUGUCUUUUAAUUGCAUGUCUUUGUUUCAUAUCAAGACAGAACAUACAGUAUCCCUGGCUUUGGACCUACAGAAGGAAACACAUUUUUCUACCUGCUGUAUGCCAGAGGUUCCUGAACACCUGCAGGGUUUAUUGCAGCACAGAUUGCUAGGCCCUACUCCAGAGUUUCUGAUUCAUCAGGUCUAAGGUGGGGCCUGAGAAUAUGCAUUUAUAAAAAGUUCUCAGGUGAUGCUGGUGGUGCUGGUCCAGAGACUACAUUUUUGAGGACCAUUCUUGUAUACUAACUGUAAAUUGUAGAACUCUAGAAGAAAGCUUACUUGGGUCUGGGAUAAGAAGCACACAGGUUAUGGAGCAAAUCAUGAAAGAUUCAACCCUUGAUCCCAGCCUAGUGUGGAAUUCAGAUAACAUGCAAUACCCAGUGACAUAACACAAUUCUUGGUUUUCACAAUUGCUGCAAGUCAUAGUCUAGUAUCUAGUGAGAAAUUCAGUUUCAUUUGCAAGGUUUGGAGAGGCCAGGUGAUUCUAGUCAAAUAGGAUUUAGUGAUUAACCCCUUGAGAGUAGGAGUUGUUUAUGUCCUUUUUCUCUCCCCCAUCACUUAGCAUUUAGCCUUACUUUAGAAGGGCCUUGUAAUUUUUUUUUAAACUGGUAAAGAGCUUUGAGUGCUUAUUAAAUUGAAAAAUGUGUGUUUUU
rnacentral:lncRNA from 1 species